UGAUACAGGACCUUGUCUGAACAAAGUGAUUUCAAAAUUUGAGCUUAAAAUGACAUUCUGAAAUCCAGUCAAUGUGCCUCAUUACUUUUCAGAGAACAUUAUUCUUGAGAGAAUGUUGGCUUGACAUGUGAAAACUUUGAAUACUUAGAAAUGGCAGGUGUAGUAGUACACUUUGCCAGUUACUCAGAUACCCCUUUUUUAUUUUCAUAGAUAUUCUGGGAUAAUUCCUUUUUUUUUUUUUUUACUAUAUAUAUGUGCAUGCUGAUGAAAGCAAAAAAGAAAGCACAUCCUUGGAUCUGAGAAGGCACGCGUGUGGUGAGAUGGAAGCAAGGACACGCAAAAAGGAAAUUUAGCACCUCUUGGAUCAGACCUUGAAUGCCACAGUGCUAGGUGUUUAACUGAUGUCCAGGAAGGAGAGAAACUAAUAUUAUGAUGAAAUACAAUGAAUCUGCCUCAGAUUCUCUAAUUCAUCUAUCUGCCAAAGCAGUCUUUUGGAAAGAUGACCACCACAUCAUGUUUCUUCAUCAGUCUGCAGUUGACAUGUUUCAGGAGUAUUAGAAAUAAGCAAUAAUCAGAGGACAAGGAUUAUAUAAACUGAUAAUAUUUACAGCCUCUUUUGCCACUGUCAAAACUGGAAAUUUUCCACUUUUAGUCACUGAACUUUUGGAUUCUUAAAUUUUGAGACAUUCUUUCACACUUAGCCUCUGCAUAAGAAUCUUUAGAAGUUUGUACAGCAGGAAGCAACGUGACUGCAACCCAGGAAGAUUUAGAGUAGAUUUGCAAAUCUUUUUUCCAUUAACAUAGGUAAGUAAGCAGGAGAGACUAGCCUGAGUGACUGCUCCUGCAUUCAUAAAACUGUAGUUUUCAAAUUCUUCUGGAGUAUUCUGAGCAAUUUUACUUACAGACUGCUAUCGAAGUUUAAACCUCAUGCUGAUUUAAGGGGUCUUUGGUCAGGGCACCUGUGUAGAGCCACUCUCUUGAUCCUCGACUCUGCUCAUUUGCCUGGUCCAACAGCAUCAGGACAGCAUCUCAUUCCGCAUUCCUCCCAAAAAUGGAAGUGUGUGAGGGGGUAUCUACUGAAUUGAAAAUUAUUUCAAGUGGAUAAAACGAGAGUAGUAUUGGGCUAGUCUGGACAAUGUCAAGUACACACAAGCCAACCUUGCAGGAAUAUGUGGAUAGAAAGGGAAGAACAGCACAUCUUGAAUUCAGCUAGAAACUUCACCAGCUACAUCAUCACAGACAAAAUAAAAAUAGAUUUAUACUCUUCUGAACUUCAUCUUGCCUUUCAAAUGUUUACAUUUGGAUUUGAGGGGGGAAAAACCGUGUCUUGCUUGCUAUGGAGUAUCAACUUGCCUUCAAAAGAUUUACCAGUAAAAGCCUUGCAUAUGUGAUAUUUGUAUGUGUAUGUGAUAAACAGAUCUUAGUGUGGGCCUCCCCUCCGACACCCCUGCUGGAGCUAGCAUUUUAAAGCAGCUUGGAAUCUGAUCCUAUUAACUACUGGACAUAUAUAGCAUAAGAAUUUAUUGAAAUACUUCGGAAAAUUGUGUUUGGGUAAUAUGAUUGAAAUGGAAAUAUACUAAGUGAAUGAUGAAUAUAUAUGAACUGUAUAUUGCAUAUUAGGAAAUGAAGAGAAUGAAAAUUUCAACAUGGGAUAGUUUUAUUGUAUUCUCUUUUAGCUUAGUUUUUCUUGGACUCUAAUACUGAAGCAUAGAGACUUACAUUUAUAAACAUGAAUCUACUAUUUUUAGAUACUUUUUAAAUCGUUGCUGUGAUAAUAGAGCUGGUUUCCUAGGGAAGUUUCUAAAAAUAUGUUUGGUAAAAUCGUAUCUCACAAAGAUUUUUGGAAGGAAUUCUGUGGACAUUUUGUAAAGCUAUACAUAAUUCUCUAUUCAUUGUUUGAGCGCUUAUGGAUAGGAGAAAAGAAAUGGGCAUGGUGAGUGUCUAAUACGUUAAUCAGGAAAAAAAGUUAAGGCACUAGUUAUUCAUGUGCAUUUUGAGAAUGCUUUGUAUGAAAUAACAAUAUAAUUGCUUUGUGACAUUUCUUAGUGUAUUGUGAUUGCUAACAGAGUUUGCUAAAAUACAUAGAAAUAUUUUAAUAGAUGAUUAUAGAAAUAGAAUAAUUAGAAUACCUCUGAAUGAUGUGUAUUUAUAAUCAUUUGAUCGGAUUAUUGCUGUGGGUUUUUUGCGGGGAGUAGGAUUGUUCUGCAUACAACUGUCUGUAAGAAAUUUUAUUAAGGCUGCUUUAUGUGGAUGUAGAUGUUAUUCUGUAAAUGGUCUUUAUAUGUUAGAAUUUGUAUGGCAUUAGAUUUUAUUCUCAAAAUGAGAUUGUUGCACAAGAGGCCAGCCUCAAUGAACACUUUGCCUGUUCAGGGUUGAGUGGGCUUUUUAUUGCUCUGUAUACACAUGAAAAAAGUACUGUUAUAUCAUCUUAUCAAGCAUAGAAGUGGCUGACAUUUUGGUCAUUUCAAUUGUUAAAAUAUAAUUUUGUUGCUUGCUGAGAGGUGUUUCUAGACUGCUUUGUAAAAGAGCUGAAUUCAGGAGAUAGAGAAUAAGACGUUUUGGAGGGCUGUGUAUGUAUAUAUGCAUGCAUAUAUACAAGGAGAGUUCUUGAACAGCCUCCAGGCGUUACUCCAUGCUCAGAUGUUGGUAAUCUACAUAUGUUUUGUAAAAUAUUCUAAUGUUAAAGAGAGGUAGACUUUUCCCCUUCCACCACUGCAAUUGUUUAAAUUGCCUCUGAACAUUAAUUCAUUUCUGGUAGAUAUUGUUAUACAUUUUGUUAUAAACUGUUAUUAAUGUUAGAUAUUUUUGUUUAACAUCUAGUUUUCUACAUGUAUAGACAUCAUUGUAAAUUCAUUUGAACUUAUAAAGGUAGAACCAUUUUUGUUUGCCAAAAGAGAUGGUUAGAUCUAGCCUCUGUGUUCAUUGAAUCAGUAGGUUCUAUUUUUAGGUUGUGGUAAAUACAAUGUGUAGUAUCUCAUCUAACAUGUCAUUGUUUUAUGACAAGAUUCAUCAUGGUGGAAAUGUCCUUGUAACUGGUGGUCUGCCUUUGCUUAUUGGUUUUAGAAACGUUUGCACACAAAUAACACAGUCCUUUGUAUAACAUAGAGAAACCUCUACUUGUGGUAAAAUAGCAUAGGUUACAAAAGUUUUCAGUUGCCGGUGAAAUUUAACUUUUAAUAAUAGUGAAUUGUUAUUUUAAAGUACUUAGUUGAUUAAGCAAUUUAUAAGUUUUUAUGGGAAAUGUUAGCAAUGGCGUAUCAAAUCUGAGUUCAUUAAAUCAUGAGCCGAUCAAAAGAAUGUUUAUGUAUUAUGUGUAUAUAAUGGACAUAGUUAUUUUUUAAAGGAUAAGAAUACUAUAUCUGCAUGUUUCGUAAGUAUAUUAAUUGUAGAAUGAAAACUUACCCAAAUGGUUGUCACAUUGUCACUAUGAGUAAAUAAUUGGGCAGCUGAAGGGGUUUUUGUUAGAUAGUUGUGUGUAAAAAGUUAGAAUAUGUAAUAGUUUUGCUUUAAACUUUCAGUUCUUGAUUUAUAGGGAUUGCUUACAUAUACAUAUGGGGGUGUGUGUAUGUGUGUAUAUAUAUAUAUAUACACAUGCAUGCACAUAUGUACAUAUAUGUGUAUGAAACAAGUGUUUAUUAAAAUUCAGAAAAUAGAAACAUCAUUUUUUGGCCAAAUAAUUGUCAUUCGGGCUUUAGUCUAUGUUCUUUGGGUUGUUUGAGGGUAGAUGAUAUAGGAAGUUUUAGUUUUUGAACUUUAUUUAGUACCUGGAGGAUACUGUGAGGCUGCUAGAUAUAUGGUAGACAAAUGUUAGUCUUUGUUUUAUAACAUCUGCAUAGGAUUUGCUAAUAGGCAUACAUUUUUGAAGAUCAAACCGAUAUAGACAAAGGUGAAAACACUUUACGUUGGUAAAUUGAAUUCCUAUACUGAGUCCAUUUGGGAUGUAUUUGGUUGAUGGGGAUUAUAUUUUUACUUUGAUUCAUGUAUCGAAGAUAAAUGUCAUUUUAUAAAACAUUUUUGAAUAUGUAACUUCUGUCAAUUUUGAAAAUAUGUUUUUAUUGAAAUGUUAAAGGUAGAAUUACUGUUUGAACAUAGGUGCAGUAGAAUGAGCAUAUUCAUGAGUUUGGCUUGAUUUUAAGGGUUUUUGUUUAUUUUUGUGUUUUGAGUUUUUUAAUUAGAUCUUUUUUGUUAGUAUAUGUCAUUGCCAUUCAUAUUUUUAAAUAUGUAACUUGUAUGAUUUUUCUUAUCUAAUUUUUUGAUUGAUAAAUGUUGGGACAGAGCAGGGAAGCAUUUGACUGCUGUAUAUAUGAUAGACAAGCUUCUUGUAUAACAUCUUAACUUCCUAGGCAUGUAGAAACAUCCUCUUCAUAUGCAGGCACAUGCACACACACAUGAACACACACACACACUCUAAAUAUAUUCAUGUUGAACUAUAGUUAUCUUUAAAACACCUUUUCUUUCUAGAAAUGUAGACAUUGCUGAUAGAAUAUACUUUUAAAUAUCAGGAACUUUUUUAUCAGUAUAGUAAUUAGCGUUUUUUGCAUGUUCAGUGGUUUGUGGUGACGGAUAUGGACAAGGGUGUUGGAUGUUUUCUGAUCUCAUGUCUGUAGUAUAUGAUGCUUUAGCUUUAUUCUUUUUGGUUUAUAGAGAUUGUGGACAUCCGUAUGUUUCAGUCAUGCGGUUUUAAACUGUAAGGUUGAAACGCUUAACUUUUGCAAAUGUUUUUAGAAACUAUAUGGCUUGGUCUUUUUUUUUUUAAAUAACUGAGUUUAUAAUAGUUGCUUUAUAACGUUUUGAGUGUGAAUGUAUAGAACUGUUGAUAAACGGAAUGAUAGAGGUUAGAACCAGUUUCUUUUGAUAUUUUUAGUUCACCCAUAUGGAGUCUUCAUUGGACUGCUGGGAUCCUUAAAGACAAAUUACCAUAAUUGAGUUAAAACUCUCUGAGCUAUAUUCUUGUUCCUUAUGUAUAUAUUAUCAUGUUAGGGAGAAGAUCGUGACAUUUAAAAGUUCUUUUACAUCAUAUUUUCAUUUAAAAGAAAAAUUAGAUUAUAAACAUUAAAUUGUUUCCAUUUUAUAUAAAAAUAUCUGUCAGUUUCAGGAACAUGUAGGUAUAUCUUAUUUUCCAGGUGUACUGAAGUUAAUUAUGCAAUUCAGUUUUCUAAAGAACAUUUUAUAAAAUCUCUGAGUUAUGUACUUCUUUGUUUAUCUGUUACAUGGCAAUAACCAAGAUAAUUUUGUAAAUAAUGGCAAGUAAGAUAGUUAAUUUUAAAUAUCUAGUAUUUCUACAUGUAUUGAGAGUCUCACAAAGUAUAAUUUUGUAAAUAUUCAUUGUAAAUGUGUUCUCUUGUCUUCUAAAAUUAACGUGGCAAUGAAACUGAUUGUUGAUAAACAGACUCUUGGGGUUAUACAAAAUUAAUCGUAUAUUAAUUUGGUCGUUAGAAGGAAUUGACAGGAUUUUGCGUUUACCUCAUUCUCAUAUAGAAGAAUAGUUUCUAUUGUAUCAAAUAUGAAUUGUAUAUUAAAAAAACUUAGACAAUGUAAAUUUAUGUGGUAUUUCUGGAUGUAGUGAACUUCCUCACUUAUUUCUUUAAUGUUGCUUAAUUUUUUUAGAACAGUUUUAGGUUCACAGCAAAAUUGAAGGGAAGGUACAGAGAUUUCCCUUAGACCUUUUACCGCAACACAUCUGUAAUCAUCCCCUUUAUCAGCAUUCUCCAACAGAGUAGUACAUUUGUUACAAUUGGUGAACCUACAUUGAUACAUUGCAAUCACUCAAAACUCAUAGUUUAUGUUACGGUUUACUGUUGGUGUUGUACAUUCUAUGGGUUUGGACAAAUCUGUGAUAACUUGGAUCCAUCACUGCCCCGAAAGUCCUCCGUGCUCUGCCUAUUCAUACCUCCCCAUAUAUUUUUUUCUUUUGUUUUUAACAUUCAGCAUAUAAAUGACUUUAUCAAGGAGAUUUUCUACUACCUCUUGGAACUAUACACAGUUCUGUAUGUGUUCCCUUGGUUGCAUGACAAUAUUCAAGACAACUUUGUAAAUAAUAGGAUGUAAAUUUUUAAUUUUUAACAUCUAGUUUUUCUAGAUGUGUAGAGUCUCACAAAGUAUAAUUUUGUAAAUAAUUCAUUGUAAAAUAUCAUGGUUUCAUUAUUUUCUUUCCAAUGUCUUAGUGAAAUUGAUAUCUAAGUCAUAAUUUUGUAGUUGUACUGCUUGAUAUUGGGCAUUAUAUACUUUAAACAUAGGAAAUGUUAUAUAAGAAAUUUUGUUUUCCCUCUUUGAAUGAUAGUUUUGUAUUUCAACUGCAUGACAACAUUCAAGACAACUUUGUAAAUAACAGAUGUAGUAUUUUGAAAGAAUGUGGUUUUUCUAGAUGAAUGGAGUUUCACAAACAUAAAUCUGUAAAUAUUUCAUUGUAAAAUAUCAUAAAUUGUCUCAUGUAAAUGUUUUGGCUGUGUAAUUAAUUAAUAAUUGGCCUCUUAGGGCUGUUUAACAUUUUGGUGUUUGUUCACUGAGUUUUGGGAAGAGAGAUAGACACAUCCCCUCAGAUUGUUAAGCUUUCAUGUAGAAGAAAACAUUAGAUUGUAUACUUAGAACAAACAAAGAAAAAUACCCCUGGAUGUAUUUUUAAUUUUAGGAAGAAAAAGGAAGACAUGAGAAGGAAUCAUCAUUUUAAAUCACAGAUUCACAGGAGAUUCUCACAUUGCUAAAGUAAUUGUCACUUUGCUAUACUAUAUAAAUUUACUCUUUACAAAUUUAUAUAUGUAUAUGCAUAGAUAUAAAGGUAUAUAUACACAUAUACAGGUAAAAUUACUUUUAGGGAUAUAGAUUUGAUAAUACUCUCUUUUGUCAUUUGUUAACUUAUUGCUUCACAUUUUUUUUGAAAACAAUGGAGAUAGUAUUUUAAUUCUAAGCUUAAACAUUUCUAGAGGCCCACUUCAUGUUAUAGCUACAUGUAUGUUAAUUUUUUAUAUAAAAUGAUUAAGUAGCUCUGUAUCUGUUUCCUAGUCUGUUUCCAUAUAUACACAUAUAUGUGAACAGAAUUCCUCUGAUAAUGAAUAUUUUAAAAAAUUUUUGAGGACCUUUAAAAUUUUCCAGUGAAUAGUUAUAUUUGAUAUGUGAUAGUCAGAAACAAAUGUCAAAAGUCUUUCAUCUCAGUUGCCUCUAAUAUAAAUUAUGAAAAUUUCUUAGAUUCUAUUCAGUGUUCAUCAAAGUAUAAAUCAGUGUACCUUUUUAAACAGUUUGGCACUGACGAUAAUAAUUGAGUAUGUAAAACUUUUAAAAUGGUAUAACUUGCUCUUGAUUUUAUCUAUUGCAACUCUCAAAGAAGAAAGUAUGUUUUGUAGAUUGAGAUGACAAAUAAUUUGAACAUCUGAAAUCCUCAUCAAUAAAAGGUCGUAGUGAUUACAGCUUAUUGGUCACAUGAAUGUAAUUCAAAUACUGAAAAAAAAAUUCUCGUAUGGAAGGCUGUUUUUAGGUCAUAUUUAAAAUUGUCAUUUUUGAACAAACAUCAAUUAAUUGUGUUUACAAUGGUGUCUAUAUGCCUCCAGUUUUUCAAACUGAAGUGUUAAUGGUUACUAUUCCUGGGGAAUGGGAUUAUCCUGGUAUGAUUAUCGUGUUAAGUAAUGCUUACUGGUCAGUGUUAUUUUAAUGGUGAUUAUUUUACCAUUUUUUGGAAUUUUUGUACAUGUAUAAUUUAAAUAGUAAAACAUUGUUUAUGUAUUUGUAUGUUGCUACAUGACAAUCUAAAAUGAAUAUAUGAAUUAUUAAAUAAAAACAUAUCUGGAAGGACGUAUGAAAAAGUUUUAACAUAACUGUAUAGAGAUAGAGGAAUAGAAGGACUGCUUCUACUUUCUGCAUUUGAAAUUUUAAAGCUAUUUCAAAAGGAACAUUUAAACAGAGGGAAUUUUAAAGAUACCAGCAGUUUGUGCCUGUCUUCGUCCUUGCCUCUCGACAUCUUGGGAUUUGGGGCUGUUGUAUCCAACUUUGUAUUCUCAGUGGCCAUUAUGAGUGGUUUUUGAGUGGUCAUGAAGAGCAUGUGAUUUAGAGACUUGUGCAGCAGAGAGUUUUACAGAGUGAACACAGAGUAUUGGAUCACCCAAGGAAAGAAGGGAGAAGAUGGGAUUUGAGUUGGAUAUGAUGGAAGAAAAACAUUUGCAGAUAAUCUGAGUACAGCUGUGACAUCAUCAGGAACAUUCCUCUUUUAUGGAGUUCCUUGAUUCAUAAGUCUUACCCAUGAAUCAAAGGAGAUGAUAAUUCCGAGAAAAGAUACUUUACCAAGUUCAUUUUUAAUCCCAAGAAUCGGUGCCACUGGAUCUCUAUUGCAAUAUUCCUCAUUCAGGUGUUCGUCACUGCCAUCUCUGGUCCUAGGAGUACCCCUUGGCGAUAUGAUUGUGAUGACUGAAUAGGAAACUGAUGCCAUUUCUUCUGACACCAUCUUCAUCAAACCAAAAGAUGGUCUUCAUAAUGUAUGGAGACUCUUUCGUGUGUUGCAGUGGACACUCCUUGCAGAUCAGAAAAACCGGACUGAGAAAGCUCAUGUUUUAAAGUAAUCUAAAGAGUGUAAUUGGAGAGAAUUGUAACCAGGCCUGUUGACAGUUUUCAUUGUUGCCAUUGGACUAAAUCUCAGGAGCUUGAAUGCCAGAGACGUUAUUACACAGAAUCUCAGGAUGGUGUAAUUGCAAGGCUUCAUUUCAGUGUUCCCAUAAGUAUUAAGUGCAUGUAUUUAUAAUUUUCACUUAUCACAGGAUCAACUUAAAAUUAUUUCAUAAAAAAUCAUCUUGUUCAAGAUUUUAAAGGUAUAGAAAUUUGUGAAGUAUGGUAUUUUUAACUCAUGCCCUUUUCCCCUCAUAAUUCUAUUCUCCAGCGUUAUCUACUGUCAGUGUAGUUUUGUGCACAUCUUUUUGGGGUGUGUUGAUAAACAGAUUGAUAAUGCAACUCUCUUUUUGGCCCAUAUUAUGUCUAUAAAUUUUCUAUGCCGUAAAAAGGCAUACAGAUAAAUUAUUUUGAUAAUUUCAGAGAAUUGGAACUGCUAGGACUAGGGAUGUCCAAAAAUUUAUGUUUUGAGUCAAAACUACAGCUUUCCCCCUAAUCAUAGAGAGAGAGUCCUCAUCACUAUUGUCUCCCAGUGUUUGUUCAUGAGAGUUCUGUUUCGUAAAAUGGUACACAUGUUAGAUGUCAGUGUUUUAAUCGUUAACAAUGCGAUAUUACGAAGAAAUUGCUUUUUUUCUUCUCUUGUUUGUCUCCAUCAUCUUCGUAUAUCCUUAAUCCUUACUAUGAAAUACCAUGUUUUCUUUUCGGCAUCAUUUUACUGUGGUGUUUUAUUUUUUGGUUGUACAAAAGUUGUGUAUUGAAAUACAAUAAUGUUCUGUUUUAUGCCUUUUGAGUUUUGUGUUUUUCUUUUAAGAACAUGUUUGCAUUAGUAUCAUACAUUUCUUUCUCUGUAUUUUCUAAUACUUUUCAUUUUGUCCUUUUAUUUUUCCAUUAAUCAUUACCAUGGUAUUUAAAGUAUUACAUACUCAAAUUGUUUCCCUUGACUUAAGGAAUUACUGCUUAAUUUAAAUUCUGUAAUGAUAUGGAAAUUCCCACAUGAUUGGCUACAUUUCUAUUUAUUUGCUUUAUCUUAUAUUGAUACUUUAAAAUUACCAAUGGUUUCUAGUCUUAGCUAUUCCAUUGAAUUCUCUCAUUUCUCGUAAUUUUUCAGAAUAUUCCCUGUCUACACUCAAAUUUUUUCCCUCAGUUGACGCUUAAAAUUAUUUUCCAAGUUGGAAAAAAAUGCAAUUUUAAGUUCAUUUGCACCAAAUUUAAUAGAGUAAUUAGGAGAGAAUUAGAUCUCUUUAACUCAGCCUUCCUAUCCAACUGCAAGGUAUGUGUUUCUAUUUUUAAUUAAAUUAUGUGGGAAUAUUGCUAGUGUAGUUUUAUUUUCUUAUUUUUUGAUUAAUCCCAACUCAUCUCAUACUUUUGUCAGUGUAGCGAUGGGGAUCAUACACUCAGUUUUUCUUAUUAAUAUGUGAAAGCCAUUUCAUGUACUUUUCUAGUGACGUUUAAUUGAAAUACCAAAAUUAUGGUUUUCUUUUUUCACAAUUCAUAGGUGGUUUCAGAAUGUAUGAAAGCAGAAAGUGCCCUUGGUUAUUUCAUUCUUAAUACUAAUCCUGUUAAAGGUUUACUUAUGAGUCAUUUUAGGAGACAGCUUCCUUCCUUUCAUUGAGGAUUUUCCACUAAAUUUGAUGACAAGUUUAAUAAAAUGUCUUGUGUUUUACAGUUGAUCAUACUUGCCAUUAUAAUUAUUGACUAGGGUAAAAAUUAACUUUUUCUAAAAGUGAACAUUCUUGCAUCCAGUGAAUGAAUGAACUUAAUUGUGUAUGUGUGUAAUUAUAUAUAUAAAUAUAUAUGUAUGUAAAUACACACUUCCCUAUUAUAAUCAUUAUAAUUUUGUUUGCGAUUUCUGAAAAAAAUCUUAAACAACUUUAUUUUGUUUUGGUCAGGGUUUUGUGUUUGGUUAACUGGCUCUACUGAAAGUGUUUUGUGUAUUUUUGAUGUAGACUGGAAAGAAGUAUUGCCAUUAUUGCUUUAAUUUUUAUUUUGAAAUAAUUUUUGACACACAAAACUAUUGCAAAAGUAGUACGUAGUUUGUAAAAAUAUUCUUUAGAUUCCUCUUAUGUUAGCAAGUUUCAUAUGCAUGAUACAAUUAUCUAAACCAGGACAUUACCAUUGACGUACUGUUGUUAACUGAUCCUUUUUAUAGGUCCAGGAGUUAACGUGAAUGUUUGACCAUGCUUUCAAGUUUGAAAUGUUUGACCAUGCUUUCAGUUUCCAUGAGUCACAGUCAUGGGAUUUCUUAAAAUACAUCCCAAAUAGAAUCUGAUAAGGCACUUCUAUUUUCCCAUCUCCCAUGCAAGAAAUAACAACUUAAGACUUAGUUUUCUCUUAUAAUUUAUUCCGAAUGUAUUUUGUUAUAUCUCAGUAUUUGGGGCACCAGUAUUUUUGAAACACAAUCAUCAAACUACCUGUUGAAAAGUAUAAAAUGCAAUAAUAAUUCCUUAUAUUGUUAAUCACAAUGAAUAAUCAGUACCACCUAUGAAAUGCUUUUUGGUAAAAAAGUCUUAUUCCAAUUUGUCUUAUGUGUUUAAUUAAAAGUUAUGUUUAAAUCAGCUCUUGUAGAAUCAUGCAUUCCAUUCCAUUUGG
rnacentral:lncRNA from 1 species